AAUCACUGCCGAAGCAACUAGCCCUGAAAAUGGAUGGCGCUAAAGCGUCGUGCCUAUACCGUGCCGUCAACGGCAAAGUUGGCCUCUGCCUUCGGGCAAGAGCCGUUACGUCUUGACGAGUAGGAGGGUCGCGGCGGUGUGCGCAGAAGGGUCUGGGCGUGAGCCUGCCUGGAGCCGCCGUCGGCGCAGAUCUUGGUGGUAGUAGCAAAUACUCUAGAGAGGGCCUGGAGAGCCGAUGUGGAGAAGGGUUUCUUGUGAACAGCCGUUGUACAAGAGUAAGUCGAUCCUAAGUGCUAGGAGAAAUCCGAUGUUGAUGGUCUGGCUGUCGACUUCUAUUCUCAACACUUAGAAAACGUUUUAGGCUUCCGGGCCGUAAAAGCGUAGGCUUCUCUCGCACCAUACACCCAGUGUGGAUUGCUCGUACGUGUUUUCCGGUGGGCUGGGGUUUAACAAGCUCCAGUCUAUACGGACUUGAACGAAGUCAUUUUCCCCCAAACGUGUGGGGCUCGUUUGUCGCGUCACGAGUAGUCCAGGUUCUACGGCACGUGUGUGUCAUGCUAGCCGCACGAACAGUGUUGGAACUAGCCUUGGAGCCUUUGGUCGAGAAAUAGCUAUGUGUUAUCCUUAGCCCGUUGAAGGGCGAAAGGGAAUCCGGUCAACAUUCCGGAACCCGGCUGCGUAAACCGCUCUCUGUUGGCGUAAGCCGGCGAGCGCUUUGUUGGGGUAACCCAAGCUGUCCCGGAGACUCUGGCGGGGGGUCUGGGAAGAGUUUUCUUUUCUUUUUAAGCGUUCGUGGACCCUGGAAUUCUAUAGCAGAGAGAUAGGGUUUGGAACGCGAAAAACAUCGCAGUUGCGGCGGUGACCGGACUUCCCCCCCGGACCUUGAAAAUCUGGGUGAGAGCGACGCGGUGAUCGCGCCGGUUCGUAUCCAUAUCCGCAUCUGGUCUCCAAGGNUUAAGAGCCUCUNGUCGAUAGAAUAAUGUAGGUAAGGGAAGUCGGCAAAUUGGAUCCGUAACUUCGGGACAAGGAUUGGCUCUGAGGAUCGGGGCGUGUCGGGCUUGGUAGGGAAGCGGGUCUGCGCCAACGUGCCGGGCCUGGGCGAGGCUAGGUCGGUGGUCUUGAGGGAUCAAGCCACCUUCGCUAUCCGAGCUCGGUCCCGUGCCUUGGCCUCCCGCGGAUCUUCCUUGCUGCGGGGUGCCGGCUGCUCUAGUCGCGGCUGGGCUUUCAGCCCGCCGUGGACGGGCCGGAUCUGUCCCUUCGUCCGCCAUUCAACGAUCAACUCAGAACUGGCACGGACCUGGAGAAUCCGACUGUCUAAUUAAAGCAAAGCAUUGCGAUGGUUCAAACUGAGUGUUUACGCAAUGUGAUUUCUGCCCAGUGCUCUGAAUGUCAACGUGAAGAAAUUCAAGCAAGCGCGGGUAAACGGCGGGAGUAACUAUGACUCUCUUAAGGUAGCCAAAUGCCUCGUCAUCCAAUUAGUGACGCGCAUGAAUGGAUUAACGAGAUUCUCACUGUCCCUAUCUACUAUCUAGCGAAACCACUGCCAAGGGAACGGGCUUGGAAAAAUUAGCGGGGAAAGAAGACCCUGUUGAGCUUGACUCUAGUCUGGNANUGUAAGGAGACAUGAGAGGUGUAGCAUAAGUGGGAGACGGCGGGCCACAAGCUUGUCCGUUCGACGGUGAAAUACCACUACUUUCAUCGUUUCCUUACUUACUCGGAUAGGCGGAGAGCGCGCCCGUCAUGGGUAUUUCCCAGGCGGGCCGGUAUUCUCGCACCAAGCGUCCGAGGGUUGCCGGACAGCUGUCCGAGAGGGUGUUUGUCCGUGCGGGAAAGUGGCUGUCUCCGCAAGGGGAAAGUCGCCGACCCCCGGCUUGCACCUGGAACGGGCUCUGCUCACCGGCAAACACUCCCUCGCGUGAUCCGAUUCGAGGACACAGCCAGGCGGGGAGUUUGACUGGGGCGGUACAUCUGUCAAAUGAUAACGCAGGUGUCCUAAGGCCAGCUCAGCGAGGACAGAAACCUCGCGUAGAGCAAAAGGGCAAAUGCUGGUUUGAUCCCGAUGUCCAGUACGCAUAGGGACUGCGAAAGCACGGCCUGUCGAUCCUUUUGGCUUGAAGAGAUUUCAGCAAGAGGUGU
rnacentral:rRNA from 1 species